rnacentral:rRNA from 1 species
UACGUAGGGCGCAAGCGUUAUCCGGAAUUAUUGGGCGUAAAGAGCUCGUAGGCGGUUUGUCGCGUCUGCUGUGAAAACCCGAGGCUCAACCUCGGGCCUGCAGUGGGUACGGGCAGACUAGAGUGCGGUAGGGGAGAUUGGAAUUCCUGGUGUAGCGGUGGAAUGCGCAGAUAUCAGGAGGAACACCGAUGGCGAAGGCAGAUCUCUGGGCCGUAACUGACGCUGAGGAGCGGAAGCGUGGGGAGCGAACAGG